ACUUCUUUAACCUUCCCCCCCAAAUUAUUUACACUGCACAAAGGUUAUCUAGGUAAUUAGCAAAAGAAAUAAUCAAAUAUGCCAAUUGUACUGAUCUGAUUGGUCCAAUUUUGUUUUUCCCUCUUUCCCUCAUUUCAAAAUCGUUCUCUCCCUCUUCUCUCUACUCUCUUUUUCUUGAAACCCUACAUCUUCCGCCGAUUCACCUCUCAUCUCCUCUUCUCUCUACUCUCUUUUUCUUGAAACCCUAGAUCUUCCGCCGAUUCACCUCUCACCUCUAAGCCGAAACGCUCACCCCACCGCACAACUUCACCACUAAAAUGCAUCGAUACCUUUUUCAAACUCGUCACUGCCACCGAAUCUGCAACGAUCUGCAAAGAUCCCACAUGUGCACAUUCUAUGAUGGAUUUCCUUCUGGAAGGGAUUUAAAAAAUUUUCUCUCGGUUAUUGUUGGAUUGUUGGAUUUUCCUAUUGUUGGGAGUUGGGCCAACUUCUUGAAACUGUUCUAUAUAGGAUUGAUGUGUACAAAUCACUCUAUAUGCUGUUUGGAGGAUUUGUUGCAGAUUGCUGACUCUGAUCAUAUACAUCGGAUGAAUAAUGUAUUACAAACGCAUAAAAAGAAGUUUAAAAAGAUUGUCCUUUUUUUUAUUCAUUUUGUUCAUAAUAGAUUUUUUGUUGUAUUCUUUCAUUUUUGUAGUGUUCCGGCAAAAUAAGUGGCGGAGGAGGGAUGGUUACACGAUGCUGGAAUUUGUUAGAUGGUGGAAUUCUUCUAUCAAAGGAGUUGUUUGAACAAAAAAUAUAAAGCAUAAGCGCAUGACGUCUCAAUAUAAAAGGCCUACACUACUUCUCCUAGGCGGAUCACUGGAAUACCAGAAAGUUCCAAAUCAGGUGGCUUCUUUCGAUACAUUGUUGUAGAAAAAUGAUCUUCUGAAGAUGAUUAUUUCGACUAUUGAGGCUCUUCGACCAAAUGUUUUGCUGGUAGAAAACACCUUUUCAGGACUCUCACUUAAAUCACAGGAACUCAUAACUAUAUUUCUAGCUGUUAGACUAUACUGCAGUUUUGUCAUGGAAUAUGAUAUACACACCUUACUCAAUACUGCAACAUUGGGGACGAUCCUCUGGUUAUUUAUAUGAUACUUUCAAACUGAAAUAAAGAGUUAUAUGGAUGAUAAGGACAACCUUGCAAUAUACCAUGUGGUACCAAUUGCCAUUUAUUGUCCUGGAUUGACUCCUGGUGUCAGGUUUCGCAAUGAUGAUGUUCCUACCGGUGGGUUGGCCAAUAUAGCUGCAACUGUGAUGAAUCUUCAUGGAUUUGAGGCUCCAAGUGACUAUGAGACAAACCUCAUAGAAGUAGUUGAUAAGUGAGAAACCAAUAGAUGAUUGGUUGCAAAUUUUCAGUAAUUUUCAAAGUCACAGUGUAGCAGACCUAUCUCAUAUAUUUUCUCCCAAAAUUUGCUUUCUGCAUACUUUUUCCCUGCCUAACUUAUUACUAAUAGCUUUGUUUUGUUGACAUUAAACGUUUUCAAUGGGAUAUUGGGGUUGCUCAAUUCA